rnacentral:misc_RNA from 1 species
AUCCACAAUAACAUCAGUAAAAUUGUUGCUGCUGCUGUUAUGUGCUGUCUGUAUGUGUGUGAGUGUAGUUAAAUCUGUACAUGCUGUAACACACACACACAUACACACACGCUACUCUAUGUCUGAGCCAGGGAGGCCUACCUCUGCACUUCUCUCCACAGAUGGCCAAGUUACUGGUCUGUUGUCAAUAUGUGCUAGGUGUCUUGAUGGAGGAUACUGAGUACCCAGGGAUGACUAGGAUGGAUUCUAUGUUAGCAGGUCCGGCCAGCCCACCUGAAAAGAAGCUCAGAUUGCAGAUGGACAAUGAUGAUCUCAUUAUAACUGCUACAAACAUGAGUGAUUUUGGUGAAGUCUAUAGCAACGAAAGAAACAUGAAUUCCCAGCCACAAAAGGAACCUGAUCCAGAUGCUAUUAAAAUGUUUGUUGGACAAAUACCUCGUUCUAUGGAUGAAAACGAACUCAGAAAAAUGUUUGAGGAAUUUGGUCCAGUAUUUCAGUUAAAUGUCUUACGGGAUAAAAUGACUGGGCAGAGUAAAGGAUGUUGUUUUGUUACUUUUUACACAAGGAAAUCUGCCCUAGAUGCACAAAAUGCUCUUCACAAUAUUAAAACAUUACCACAAAUGCAUCAUCCCAUACAAAUGAAACCCGCUGAUAGUGAAAAAAGAAAUGGUAUCAACGGAGUACCCAGAUUUGGGGCUAAAGUUGAAGAAAGGAAGCUGUUUGUUGGUAUGAUCUCAAAGAAAUACAAUGAAAGUGAUAUACGGAUAUUGUUUUCUAACUAUGGAUCAAUAGAGGAUUGUACAGUAUUAAGAGACCAAAGUGGGCAAAGUAAAGGUUGUGCAUUUGUUACAUUUAAUAACCGACAGAGUGCUCAGAAUGCCAUCAAAAAUAUGCAUCAUUCACAAACAAUGGAGGGGUGUUCUUCACCAUUGGUGGUAAAGUUUGCAGAUACUCAGAGGGAAAAAGAAGCUAAAAAACUGCAACAAAUGAAUGCUAAUUUAUGGAAUUUGUCUUUGGGAGGUUUAGGUCCACUGGCCCCUCAGUAUGUGUCGUUAUUACAACAAGCAGCAGCUGGUAGUGGCGGCGGAGGUGGAGGUGGAAACAUGGGGGGAGGAUACGGUAAUUUAGGUAAUGUUGGCUUGAAUACCAUGGGUAUCCAGCAGUUAUUGACUGCUGCCGCUGCAGCUGCCGCAACUGGCAAUAAUCCAGGCAUACUGGCAGCCCUGGCUGGGUUAAACACUGGCAGUCUAACGAAUAACAAUGGUCCUUCUGCAUACUCCCCUUCCUCCUCCUCCUCCACUACCUUGUCCACUGCUCCGUCUGCUGCAGCGACAGCGGCAGCCUUAGCGGCAGCAGCCACAAUGGCGUCGCUGGGGGGAAGCAAUAACAGUGGCUGUUCGUCAGCUGCAACAGGAGAAACCAACAAUUUGCAACAUUUGCAGAACUUACAGAGUUUAACUGCAUUGGCUAAUGCCUCUGGUAAUGCAGGUUCAUUAAGUGCUCUAGGAAUGCCAAGUUUGGCAGCAUUAAACCAGCUUGCAGGAAACACAAAUGCAUCCAGUGCAUCUGAACCUGUCUUCAACUUUUGUCGUACUAUAACUGGUACAACCUCCUCCAACUCACUAAGUGGCCUCACUGGAAUGCAAAAUCUAGGGAACAAUUCCUUAACAAACCUCUCUAAUUUGACCUCAAGUGUAACAAGCAACAUGAAUGGCAUUGGCUCCAAUACCAACCCAACAGGUAUUGAUGCUCUUAGCCAAGCAUAUUCGGGGAUACAGCAAUACGCAGGUUUGUCAGGUUUGCUCCCUCCAGGUAAAGCCUCCUUUCCAAAUGCAUUCAAUAGCCAAUCAGCUCAGCAGCUCCAACAGGCUGCAGCCAAUUCUGCUGCUGGGAAACAAACCGAAGCAGGUCCAGACGGCGCCAACUUAUUUAUAUAUCAUUUACCACAAGAGUUCAGUGAUCAAGACCUCAUGCAGACUUUUAUUCCAUUUGGAAAUGUUGUUUCAGCCAAAGUCUUCAUUGAUAAACAAACAAAUCUUAGCAAGUGCUUUGGUUUUGUGAGUUUUGACAAUCCUUUGUCAGCACAAGCAGCAAUCCAAGCCAUGAAUGGAUUUCAGAUUGGCAUGAAACGACUGAAAGUGCAGUUGAAGAGGCCAAAAAAUGAUAGCAAACCAUACUAAUGUAGAAUAUCCUUUUAAACCGUGUCGGUUUGGAGAGUUCGGGCCUCAGUGUAACCAAAGUAGUGUGUCUGUGAACAGGACAACGAUGGCGACCUUCUCAUUUAUUAUAACCUUACAGGCAGCACUUACCAAAAGAAUCAGACAUAUCCACAAAGCUCUGGAACCGUAUAAAUGGGCUACACUACAAAGUAGAGAAGACAUACUGGAGAUCUAUAAACAAUACACGCCUUUGUACACAUAUGCACACGAAUAUAUUACGUAACGAUAUGUACUUUCAGAUAAAUAUAUUAUACGCUCAAACACACAGACACACAAACACACAUACGCCCUCCCCCACACACAUGCAUAUAAUCAUAUGGUAAUGUAUCUGAAUGUGUUUGAAUGUUUUGUGUAAAUGAUGAUGAUAUGGUGAUCCCACGUAUACAAGGAACAAGUGUGAGAAGAAUAGGGGUGAGAGAAAGAGAAAGAGAGGGAGAUUACUAAAACAGAGAAAUUGCUAUAUAAAGAAGUAAUAAUGGGAGAUAAAUACAGAGAUAAAUUGACAAAUGGAAUAUGAGAGACAAAGUCUCACACACACAUAUAUGUGUGUGUGUAUGAGUGUGUGUGUGUGUCUGCGUGUGUGUGUAUGUAACCAGUUCAGUACUAUAUACAGCUUAUAUGAACUGUCUACAGCUGACAUUUCAAUACGACAAAUGGUAUACUUAUAGGAUGGAAAACAACAAAUAAACUACAAGUGAGAGAAAGAAAGGACGAAGUGAAUUAAAACAGUAUAUCAGGUGGAACUCCGCCGUUAAGUUAUAAUGUCCUUUUGUCUGCAAGCUUUCGUGUGAUGAAAAUGUCUAAACAGGCUUUCCUUCAGAAAACCAAGCGACAGCUUUCGUAUAUGAAAUAUGCAAGUAUAAUGAUUUCUCAUAGUAUAUCUCUUUCAAAUGUUGUGGUGAUGGC